UUCUUAUCAAGAGUAGGUGGAGGGACUGGCCCGAUGAUACCCGGCAACCGACAUUGUAACCCCCGAGGGGCAAUGCACGGUGCUAAUUCUUGCGGGAGCCGUAUGAAUAGCGGCUUCUGGGAGAUGAGAG
rfam:Paenibacillus sp. HGF7 contig00129, whole genome shotgun sequence.